rnacentral:tRNA from 1 species
GCCUCGGUAGCGAAGUAGGCAGCGCGUCAGUCUCAUAAUCUGAAGGUCGUGAGUUCGAACCUCACCGGGGCA